GACGGGGCCCGCACAAGCGGUGGAGCAUGUGGUUUAAUUCGAUGCAACGCGAAGAACCUUACCAGGUCUUGACAUCCAACGAAUCCUUCUGAAAGGAAGGAGUGCCUUCGGGAGCGUUGAGACAGGUGGUGCAUGGUUGUCGUCAGCUCGUGUCGUGAGAUGUUGGGUUAAGUCCCGCAACGAGCGCAACCCUUGCUAUUAGUUGCUAACAGGUUAAGCUGAGCACUCUAAAGAGACUGCCGGUGUCAAACCGGAGGAAGGUGGGGAUGACGUCAAAUCAUCAUGCCCCUUAUGACCUGGGCUACACACGUGCUACAAUGGUUGGUACAACGAGUUGCCAAGCCGCGAGGUGGAGCCAAUCCCUUAAAGCCGAUCGUAGUCCGGAUCGUAGUCUGCAACUCGACUACGUGAAGUCGGAAUCGCUAGUAAUCGCAGAUCAGCAUGCUGCGGUGAAUACGUUCCCGGGUCUU
rnacentral:rRNA from 1 species